rnacentral:tRNA from 1 species
UUUUGAUUAGCUCAAUUGGUAGAGCAGUUGACUCUCAAUCAAUGUGAACAGGUUCAAAUCCUGUAUCAAAAACCC